rnacentral:rRNA from 1 species
GAUUUCUGGCCUGACGCGCCUGUCCCGCCACGGUUACGUGUGUGAGUGACGGGUCGUGUCUGCCAUCCUUCUAGAUAACAUGUGCUACCCUUCAUUGGGCUGGUGCAUGCCAUCUAGAUCUUUUACUUUGAAAAAAUUAGAGUGUUUAAAGCAGGCUUUUGCUAUGAAUACAUUAGCAUGGAAUAAUAAUCUAGGACUUCGGUUCUAUUUUGUUGGUUUCUAUAACUGAAGUAAUGAUUGAUAGGGAUAGUUGGGGGUGCUAGUAUUGGCCGGCCAGAGGUGAAAUUCUUGGAUUCGGUCAAGACUAACUUAUGCGAAAGCAUU